ensembl:lncRNA
CGAUUCUUCCCCCUAUCCUCUCGAAGCCACAGUCAAGAGGACUACCGUAGAGCACUUGUCUCUUGCCUUCUCAGCGCUACCUGCCUUCCAAUCAGCCCUGCAUAGCCAGUGGAGGCUAUGACAGCUCUGCUGUUCUAGAUCCCCAUGGAGUGCAGUCCGCCACUGGAUUCCAUUCUUUUGUAGAUACACAUUAGGAAAUGUCUUUUUAAGAGCGAAACUGAGAGAAAAUUUACACUGUCUACUCAGCUCUAUGGUUUUCUGACUUGUCUGAGACAGUGAGUUUUGGGAUCUGAGAGAGAACAUGUAAGCGGAUCCGGCCACGAAGAGUGAAUGUCUCUUAGUGGGGGGGCUAUGGUGGUCGUCGGAAGGACGGGUGAUC